UUAGCUCAUAUUUGUAUGGAAUGGGAUCGUUUGCGUACGUUUGCCGCUAGGGGCGCUGUUCCAACUGCAUACAAAAUCGGGUUA
rnacentral:pre_miRNA from 1 species